rnacentral:rRNA from 1 species
UACGGGGGGAGCAAGCGUUGUUCGGAUUUACUGGGCGUAAAGGGCGCGUAGGCGGCCACAACAAGUCACUUGUGAAAUCUCCGGGCUUAACCCGGUAGCGGCCAAGUGAUACUGUUGGGCUAGAGUGCGGAAGGGGCAACUGGAAUUCUCGGUGUAGCGGUGAAAUGCGUAGAUAUCGAGAGGAACACCUGCGGCGAAGGCGGGUUGCUGGGCCGACACUGACGCUGAGGCGCGAAAGCGUGGGGAGCAAACGGG